UACGUAGGGGGCGAGCGUUGUCCGGAAUGACUGGGCGUAAAGGGAGUGUAGGCGGCUCUUUAAGUUAUAUGUGAAAUCCCGCGGCUUAACCGUGGAAGUGCAUAUAAAACUGGGGAGCUGGAGUGCAGGAGAGGUGAGUGGAAUUCCUAGUGUAGCGGUGGAAUGCGUAGAUAUUAGGAAGAACACCGGUGGCGAAGGCGGCUCACUGGACUGUAACUGACGCUGAGGCUCGAAAGCGUGGGGAGCAAACA
rnacentral:rRNA from 1 species